GCCUUACGGGAUAGGCGAGUAUUGUCCGAUUGAUUGCUGUUCCGAGAAUUAGUGCCUGGGUCAUCCUUCUGAAUCUGGUGCUCCUUACUGGCAACAAUAUCUGGCUUGGGUCGGCGACCUAAACAAGGCAAAACUCUACGUAUGGCACACAUGCUGAAAACGAGUUCAAGAAGUUUGAGAAGCAAUGCCAUAAGCAGAACAUGGGCAGUUAAUGUGAUACCUGCAGGCACCAGUUUGCCAUUGGACACUUCACUUGUGGCCCACCAAGGCUUGGAAAAACACAGUAGGACCACAAGCAAAGGUGGAACCAAGACAGAGCAAGGAUCAGAUAACAACAAGGCAUGGCAAGACCAGAGGCAAAGAGCAUUAGGUAUAAGCAGGUGACGACGCUGCAAGACUGGAGGUAGAAACCCAAUGAACAACACUAAUCAGCUACUGCAGAGUCAAGUUGCUAUGGCAAAGAUGGGCAGAACCAAUAAGCCUUUUACAGAGUUCCCACUCUCAACUUGUCUGCUUGCUUACACAGCUCCUAAUUCUGCAAGCAUCUACAGAUCUAAUGCCAAUCCUGUGGGUACUUACAAGACAGAGCAUGCUGCCUCCUCUAUCAAGCCACUGGGGAAGAUGCACAGCUCUACAGAUCCUGACACAAUGGCACCCCAGGGUUUCAGGCUGGAGUCUUCUCCACUCCUGCUUGAUAAUGCCAGGGAUCGAAGCUAAGGGGUUGUGUGUGUGUUCAUAUAUAUGGAGGGAAGCAACCAGAUGUGCCCUUUUCUUGCAUACAUGAAAUGGAAAUAUGUGAUUUUAUUGAGGCAAUAUUUAUUAAUGUAAAUAAUAAAAAAUCACAAUCACUAUAAAUCAUCAUGGUAUGGAUGAAAAUAUAUUAUGUAAUAAAUAAAACCAUUACAUACUUCUCCACAUAGACAUACAGACAAUAUGGACACUAAAUGAAUUGACUUUUCCUUCCACACAGGGUGAAUCUGCAUAUUAUGCUGCCUAUGAAAUUUGAAUCUUCUGUGUUCGAAUUCAAGCCAGCUUGGGGAACAAAAUUCUUUCCCAAUCUAAAAUAAGGCUUCAAAAAGAAACAGUCAACCUGGUUUCUCAGGAGUUCUUCCAUUCAAUUAUCAAAGUUUUCUAGGUCCAUUUCAAAAUUCCUUGAGUGAGUCCUGAGGCUACACAGUAAAUAACUGUCAAAUGUUCAGUUGUAAUUGUAGUCUAAAAUGCAUAUACAUUUGCUGAACUUCACCAGCCUCAUUUCGUUUCUGAAUGCUAGCAAAUUAACAAUAUCUUCAUCUAUGCACAUAUCUACUUCUGAAUAUGAAUACUGCACAUGGUUCAUUGGUUUUUCUAGUUCUCACACAACAAAUAUUGAAUUAUUUAACCCAUAAUUUCUGGGGCUUCAUGACAGAUGUGACCACUUCUGUUUUUUGUAAACAAUCUCCAAUUAGUGCAAUUAGAGGCUAUGAGUGUGAUGUGCAAAUUUGGACUGCUGGGCCCUUUAGGAGGAAGACAAUGCAGCAGUUAAAACAUGAUUUGUUGUUGGGCUGCUUGGCACCUAAACAACCAAGAGGUUGAGGCUUGCAUACUACACAAACAGUUGCUGAUUGUGCAAACUGGAGUUUACAGAAAGCAGAGGAGCCUUGUACAUGGCACAUGCCACUAUUAUAUGUGAACUGACUGUUGUUUUUUUAUUUUGAUUAAAAUACUGACCAUAGCUUCAACAGCAAUAAAACCAGCCUGGAUCUAAGCACCAGAUGUUAUGGGCAUUCAUGAGAUUUACUAGAAGCUCAGUAGUGAAAGUUUGUUCCCUCUUCGUCACUGGGCUGGAGAGGAAAGUCACCAGCCAGCCGCUUGGCAAUCUGAGUUGUACAGAAUUUGGUGGAUUUACCAUUUGGCUGCUCACACAAGGACAGUUCCUGCUCCUUUCCAGAAAGUAGCAAAUUCCAUGAUUCAGACAAUGAUUCCAAAAUGUUGGCAUGGGUUUCACAAGUUGUUGAAAAGCCAUCUAGGAAAGCCGUAUGCGGCAAGACUGAGGGAGCUGGGUCUUUUCAGCCUGGAGAAGAGGAGAGACAGAGGAGAUCUGUUGGCAACAUACAGUGUGAAGUAACAAGAAUAUGUGGAGCUCAGGUGGAUUUAUUAGAUCAAGACUCCAGAUGACCACAAGACAAGCAGCUGCACCAGAAGAAGCAGACAACAAGCUUGUUUACUCUGAGCAAACCCAUCCAUGCGUCCUCUGGCAGCAGCGUCCUUGUGCACUGAGCAAGAGAUGCUGCUGAGUUUAGAUGCUUCACUCCCCCCACCCCCGGCUUCUUUGCACAUUCCUAAAAACAUUUCAGGAUGCAAGGCAAUUCUAACUACACGAGCUUGCUAUGAAGCAUUCCCUAGCUUGCUUUCCCCACACCCGUAGUCUUAGUCAGCUCGAAAGGAGAAGCAUUUAUUUUUAAUUUUGCAACUUUGAGUUAAGUUUUGAAAAGAGCUCGAUAGAAGGGCAAAUGCAAGGCCUUCCAUCACAUUUACCACCGAGGAAAAAAAACCCACCCAGGUUACAAAUCCCACCUCUCCGGUGGAAAACAAGACUCCCCACCCGCGCGCAUAAAUCAAGAAAGUUGAGAGAAUCGUUGGGAAAGUGUACUGACUCCUUAUGCUAUCACACUCUUCUUAAAUGCAUCCGGUCAAACAUCCCUGUUUCGUCCUCCCAAAUUUCCAACACAAGAAACUAACCAUACAGUUCAUACUACGGAAUGGAAAGGAUGUGGCUCCUCGUGGUUUUUUUUUUUUUUUCUUCCUUUCUUUUUUAAAUCAAACUUUGGGACUGUUCUCUUGUUGUUACUCCUGUUGCUACGCAUGUUUCACUCACCCAAGAUCUCUGAUGAUGCUGGAGACGCUUAAUUCAGAAAAAAGAAAGAAGACAAGGGGAGAAAAGAUAAAGAAAACCACCAACAAAGAGCCUAAAAUCUCCAGGCUGGAAAGAUUCCAGGCCGGACAGAUCUGCGAGGCACUCACCAAAGUAAGGCUGGAGUUGAGGAUCUGUUUUGGAGAAGGUUUAGUGGGGAAAGGGAAGCAGUUGUACUUGGGAGCUGGUUGCUUUAAGGACGGGCUUGCAGAUUUCCUACAAAGCUCAGCGGAAGAGGAAGAAAUAACUGGUGCAGGGAGAGGAGAAAGGCACUGGAAUCGAGGCACCCAGACCCUCCAUAUGGAAGCAGGCUUUUUGGAUGACUGAACUCUCAAACAAUUCCCUUCUUUUUGCUAGCCCGGCUCUGGAGCCUCCCCUUUAGGAGGAGGAGGGGGAGGAGGAGGAGCCGAAGAAGUGGAAAGCGGGGCGGUGGGGGGAGAGAUGGGACUCUCCGAAAGGAGGUCACACGAUCAGUAACCUUCUUCCGUGAAACGAGACAGCAGCACGAGAAGCGAUCACUUCGUUGCACCUGAUUUUUCGAAAAAGACGAGGGUUCUGAAAGGAUCGCAUAUAAAACCUAGCUGCCCUCCCUUCCCUCUCCCCCCCCCCCCCCGAUCCUGCCAAAAAAGACAGAGAGAGAGAAAGAGAGAAGCGGAAGCUGGAAAAGUUGGAUUACAAAGUUUGGCGAGGAAGGAAGGAGGGUCUCUCUCCUCCGCUACAUCCCCCCUCCCCGGUCUUUGCCUUGUAUUUGGUAUGUGGCGGUCCUCAGUCAAAGCUCCGGACCCUAUUCAUCGGCAAUGAGGCGGGGGCAUGCCGGGGAGGGAGGAGGGUUACGAGGGGGGAAUUAGGAGCAGGUUUUUAACUACAGUGCGACCUCAUUUUAAAAAAAGAACAAUACAGCACACUGGUCACAGCAGGAUGUUUCGCCCGGAAAGUGGAGAGGCAGGUCUAUUGGAACCCUCUUCCUUGCUGAUGAGGAAAGAAGUGGUCGUCUGGAUGUGUCUCUCCUUUCGCCUCCUUUUCUGUCAUAAGAAGGAAUCACUGAAUAUGCUGCAAAGCAAGUGCCACUGACUUAAGUUCUGUAGGACGUAACUCCUGCGUAUUCACUUGUUCCUACAGACCUUCCAAGGUUCCUGCUUUGGAUUGUUUGAGGAAGUACACUGAGAAUAAUGAAAGAGAUCCUAGAAUUAAAUUGACCCAUCACUUUUUAAGGAAUUUUAGGACUCGAGGGCAUGCUGGUUUUCCUCAGUUUCCCAGUUACUUGCUCAUAUACAUGCCUGUAGCACAGAACAAGUAACAAACAGGCGGAGGCAAGGUGCAACAUGUAAACAAGAGGGACUGGUUGCCCAAGUAAGUAAUUUAGCAGAAUGCAGCUGCACACCUCAAAAGAUUUUUGCUGUGUAAUAAAUAUGCUGAAAAAUAAAAUUGCUGGAAUAGAAAACAACAAAUUAAUCCAAAGGCUGGAGUAUCUUCCUUAGAUGAAAAGGCUGUUAUUUUUAAUUUGGGGUUUUUAAUUUCUCUGUGUCAUGGGAGGGGGACACUAAAGAAAAAACACAGAGCAGGCUUACCCAAUCUGUCCCCUUCCAGAUUCCAAUCUGUCCCCUUCCAAUCUGUUCAGUGACAGCUCCUGACAUUCUAACCAGUAUGGUCAUGAAACAAUUGAAUUUCACCACAGCAACCAACAAAGUAAAUGUAUACAUAGCAGACAUAUCGGACUGCCAAUUGCCUGCUCAGCCUUUUUUUUUCCCAGUUAGGAUGAGUAAAGAGAAGUGACAAGUGGAAAAAGCAAGGUGUGAACUCAUAGAUGCUCAGCACUGACCCAGAAUGGAAAUAGGUAAUGAUACCAGAUGCAUGGCAGGAAGAGGUUUCAUCCAUUGUAAUACUGAAAUGAAGAAAGACACAUGGCAAGCCUCUAUGUUCCAUGCAGCUAACAAAGGAAAUGGAUGUUUACUGGUAUGAUAAUGGAAUCUGCUCCUGAUCUUCUCUGCUUCAAGGAACUUCUCUAGAGGACUAGAUUGACCCCAACAGGCAUGGGGUUGGAAACAAAGAGGACCAUAAGGAAGGUGCCUGGCUUUGAUCUUUCCUGCUGGUUAAUUGGAGUGAGGCUGCACUAAAGUGGCCAUCCAAACUCAGUGGAAACAGGGAAAGUGGGUUGGAGGCUACAGUAUGCAGGGAAAGGAUCUCCAGAAGAUAGGAGCACUGAAAGAUCCUGUUGAAUCAUUACUGAGGAUGGGGCUGGGGAGCAGAGAAACUCUUGCAACUACCAAGAAAGCAGAGCCUUGGUAAAAGUCAACACAUUGCUGCUUCAGCAAAAGUAAGACUAGGGCAGCCAGAACCAGAUGUUCUGUGGAGAAGGACUUACAAAGCUCAUGGCAGAACCAUGGAUUUUGGUUAGAUGAGAUUUCAGCAAGGAAUGAGAGUCAGCAGGUACAGCAACACACUGGGCUUGCAAUGCACAAAGGGGAGUUCUAAAGCUUUGGAAGGCUGGGAACCGAUGGAAUUUGCCACACAGAAGCAGCUUGUGGUACCAGGAUCUUAGGAUGACCAGGAGUGAUGGACAUUAAAAUUCUAGGUUUUUAUACCACUUGAACAAAUAAACAAUCAAACAAACAAAUCCCCCCCCAUCUAACAUGUUUCUUUUACUCAUUUUAUAGAUUAUUUUGUAAUUUAUAUUUUAGUUGUUAUACCAAAAGAUUUUGUUUUUGUUUCAAGAUAUGUGGCUUUUAAAAUCUUUCCUGCCAUUUCCCCCUCCUCACCCCUUUUGCUCACAUCCUGAGAGUGAAUCACAGCUGGAUUAAUUCAGCAUGAAGCAUUUUGUAUGUGAGUGAGAACAGACUUAUUAAAGUGCACCGCUUUGAUAAAAGGCAGCCUUGAUGUUUUCUGUCAGGGAUCCCACAGAAAUCAUAUGGGGAAAAAAACCCUCUCAGUACUCCAUGUAUAACACUUACAGCUGUAGCAGUUACCUCAAACAGUAUAUAUUUUCAAAAUAACAAAACUCUCCGUGGAAUUUUUAAGUCAUCUCGGCCAACCUCAAAGAAGGAGAGAAUCUUAUUUGCAAAAACAUCUGCCUUUUUCUUUCCCUCUAUCCAAAAACAUUCCAGAGACUGCAUGGUGACUUGCAGAAUCAGUAGGUCAAUCCAUAUUACAUCACUUCUGGCCUGGCCACAUUACCACAGCAGAACUACACCAAAUAGUCUUUUCAGUAUCUGGUGGCUAGGAAAGCAUUUGUACAAGUGUGUUAAUAGGUUUACUAAACCCUUGGAAUAUGAGAUGAACAGGAGUUGUUAGCUUCCUUAAUUUGUCUUCAAGUUUUGCAACUGCUGUAGAUAUCAGAAACCUCUUUUGUUUUUUCUGAUCUUUUUCUUAUUCAUUAUAUCAAAUACACCACAUUAUAAUAUCAUAGAAGGCUAAUUCAACAACUCCACUGAUGGGAGAUGUUGCCACAGUUCACAAUGCAUGCCAAGUAUGUGUACCUGCCAUUUUUAAUAUUGAACAAACCAUUGUUUGACCUCAAAUAAUCCAUGGUGCCUGGGUUCCCAUACUGCAGCACUUGAUUACUCCAAUUAGGGGCUGCAUUUUCAAAAUGGCAGCUACAUAGCCCACGAUGGCCCAGUGUAUUAUUUAUUUAUUAUUUGUCUAUUACAUUUUUAUACUGCCUCAUAGUUCAGGCUCUCUGGGUGGUGUACAAUUAAAAUUAAUUCAUACAAUAAACAUUAUACUAAAGGAGAAUAAAACUAUAAACAACAACAACAAGACAACAACAUUGCAGCUAUAAUAACUUAAUUUCUUAGAUUAGGUCAAGCUUGACACAAAAGCAUUGCAACAAAAGCCACAGGGUUGAAGAAUCAUAAUCAGAGUAUAUUCUUUCACUUACCACAAUAGCUUAAUUUAAUAUAAGGCUGAAAACCUAUACAAACUUGUCCAUCGGUUGUUUAUUUAAAUGUUCUGUUUUCAGUCACUUUAUCUCAAAUUGACUCCUGUACUCUACAAUAUUUAAAAUGGCUACUCAAAGUAAGCCCACUGAAUGGGCUUGCUCCCACAUAAGAGGAAUAAGAUCUUUUUGCCUGCUCUGGCUUGCAAUUGGUCCCCUGGACCUUUCCCAUCACCUUCCACCUGGUCUUUUUCACUGGAAUGGACUGGCAUUGACUCUGUGGCCUUGUGCAUGGCCAGUACAGAUGUUUCCUUUGAACCAAGGGCCCUUGUUCCUUAAAGCUGGAAUUUAUUCACCUCUCAUGUUUUUAUUUUAGCUUUUAACUGUUUUAUAUCAUGCAUAGGUAUGGGAGAAGCAGAGAAGUUCAAACUUGUAAAGAUUCUCCAUACUCCACUUCAAAGCUCACUUGGCCUUGCUUUCAUUUUUAUUUGUGAACUGUAUUUAAACGUUUCAAAAAAAUUGAAAGCUCAAAAGUUGUACACUUCCCUACUAUUGAAUAAAGGAUGAAAAUACUGUG